rnacentral:rRNA from 1 species
AACGAACGCUGGCGGCAUGCCUAACACAUGCAAGUCGAACGAGACCUUCGGGUCUAGUGGCGCACGGGUGCGUAACUCGUGGGAAUCUGCCCAAAGGUUCGGAAUAACCCGGGGAAACCCGGGCUAAUACCGGAUAAUGUCUUCGGACCAAAGAUUUAUCGCCUUUGGAUGAGCCCGCGUCGGAUUAGCUUGUUGGUGAGGUAAAGGCUCACCAAGGCGACGAUCCGUAGCUGGUCUGAGAGGAUGAUCAGCCACACUGGGACUGAGACACGGCCCAGACUCCUACGGGAGGCAGCAGUGGGGAAUAUUGGACAAUGGGCGAAAGCCUGAUCCAGCAAUGCCGCGUGAGUGAUGAAGGCCUUAGGGUUGUAAAGCUCUUUUACCCGGGAUGAUAAUGACAGUACCGGGAGAAUAAGCCCCGGCUAACUCCGUGCCAGCAGCCGCGGUAAUACGGAGGGGGCUAGCGUUGUUCGGAAUUACUGGGCGUAAAGCGCGCGUAGGCGGCUUCGC